UACGUAGGGGGCGAGCGUUGUCCGGAGUUACUGGGCGUAAAGGGCCUGUAGGCGGUAGUGCGCGUUUGUGGUGACAGCUCCCGGCUUCACUGGGAGAGAGCCGCGAAGACGGCACAGCUAGAGGGCCAGGGAGGGACAUGGAACUCCGGGUGGAGCGGUGAAAUGCGUAGGGAUCCGGAAGAACACCAAAGGCGAAGGCAAUGUCCUGGCUGGUACCUGACGCUGAGGGGCGAAAGCUAGGGGAG
rnacentral:rRNA from 1 species